rnacentral:snRNA from 1 species
UUUGCGCUUGGGGCAAUAUUAUAGCGCGUGACCGAAAGGGAUGCAUAAUUAUUGCUAGUUGAAAACUAAUCUAAUGGCUGCGGUGACCCCUCGUGGUCAGGCUGCAAUUUUUGAAAAA